UGGGGAAUUUUGGACAAUGGGCGCAAGCCUGAUCCAGCCAUGCCGCGUGCAGGAUGAAGGCCUUCGGGUUGUAAACUGCUUUUGUACGGAACGAAAAGGUGCCUUCUAAUAAAGGGCGCUCAUGACGGUACCGUAAGAAGAAGCACCGGCUAACUACGUGCCAGCAGCCGCGGUAAUACGUAGGGUGCGAGCGUUAAUCGGAAUUACUGGGCGUAAAGCGUGCGCAGGCGGUUUUGUAAGACAGAUGUGAAAUCCCCGGGCUUAACCUGGGAACUGCGUUUGUGACUGCAAGGCUGGAGUACGGCAGAGGGGGGUGGAAUUCCACGUGUAGCAGUGAAAUGCGUAGAGAUGUGGAGGAACACCGAUGGCGAAGGCAGCCCCCUGGGCCUGUACUGACGCUCAUGCACGAAAGCGUGGGGAGCAAACA
rnacentral:rRNA from 1 species